CAAAACAAAUCAAAGGAAAAUUUUAUAGUAAAACGAAUCUAAAUUAAGUAACGUAACCAAAUUUCUCUUAACGAAAUUUAAAACUUUGAAAGUAAAUUGAUAAAUCAAUUAUUUUAGUUUUUCUUGCCGUUAUGUCACGGGUUGGCCACAAUCCUAGACUAUUCAAAUUCUCAGUUGAUUCCUAUCAAGACUGG